rnacentral:lncRNA from 1 species
AAGCAUGCCAUACAUUGGGUGAAGAAGGACUGGGAGUAUUGAGUAGGGAAAUAGAGGUCCUUUGAACCAGGGGCAGGUUGGCUCAAUUCUUUAAUUAAAUCUUUGUUUCUCCUGAAACAUAUGCCACAUCAGAAAAGGCUUCAAUAACCAAUUCAAGCUUGCAUGAUGAACAUUGAGAUGUGUAUACAUGACAUUUCAAUAUCAUAAUGCUUUCAGAUAACCUAUAGUUGAAUCACCUGUAUAGGUCCGAAUUUUUGUAUAUUUCAGUGAAAUCCACCCCCAACAAGAAUUCUUGUGCCGAAGAGGUAACUUCCAGCAUCCAAGUUGCAGGGUUAUAACCAUCUUUGAUUUUACUCACUCCUUCAAUUCCCUUAAUGAUAGCAAGUCACAUGUAUUAGUAAGCACUUGAUAUGAAUUAACUCAAACUAAAUUAUUUGCUGCUUAUAGCUUUUACUUUAUCAUGGCAGCUUACCUGAAAAUACUUUAUCAGAUGAGAAGAAUGUCUACCCAGUGGUCCCACAUAUAUCUCUUGUCCUCCUCGCUUCAACAGGAGCAACUGCAAAUCCAUUUUAAAUAUUUCAGUACUUAUAUGCAAAGCUCAUAGAAGGGAAACUAUAAAUUCUUUCUAUCCAUUAACAUUUCCCACCUCAUCAAAGGCUUCAAAGAUGUCAAUACUUGGCUGAUGGAUGGUGCACACAACUGUUCUUCCUGUGUCCACUGUGUUCCUGACUGUUCUCAUAACAAUUGCAGCAGCUCUUGCAUCUAGCCCUGAAGUUGGCUCAUCCAUGAAUAUUAUUGAGGGAUUUGCCACAAGCUCAACUGCAAUGGUCAGCCUCUUGCGCUGCUCUGUUGAGAGACCAUUUACACCUGGCAACCCAACUAGUGAAUCCUUCAAUGGGGUCAGUUCCACGAGCUCCAUGACUUCCUCAAUGAACAUCUGUAACCAUUAGCAAGGAUUAGAAAUUGUUUAAAAAAACAAUGCAAAGCCAUAGCAGAGAUGGUAAAAAAAUUGACACUGCUUGUGACUCUUUUCAGUUAGCAGGUUGUGAACAAGUUUCUCUAGUCUUAUUAAACAGAUCAGUUCAUGGUUGCCAAUGCUCAAUAACACCUAUUAGCAUGCAUGAACUUCACCAACUUGUAUUCCAGGUCAACCAAAUUUGAACCAGCACCUUUCCCCAGGGUGAAGGUCAAGCCAAAUUUGAACCUGAUCUAAGCUCAACCAAGUUUGAAAAAUCAAUUCUAGGGCUUUACUUGUUCAGAGCACUCAAUUGAAUAAGACAAAUGUGGAAAGAACUCAGGAAGCCCUCACCUUUCUAGUUUUAGAAUCCACAUCAGCAGGCAACCUCAGCCAAGCAGAGUAGAGCAAGGACUCAUGGAUAGUAACAUGAGGAGAGUGGAUGUCAUUCUGCUCACAGUAUCCAGAAAUUCGAGCAAAAGUCUCUUGCUUCUUUGGGUAGCCAGAAAUGUUGAUGUUACCCUCAAUAUAUCCACCAGUUUUCCGACCAGCCAGUACAUCCAUGAGAGUGGUUUUACCAGCACCGCUAACACCCAUCAGAGCUGUAAGAACACCAGGCCUGAAAGCACCACUCACCCCCUUUAGAAGCUCCAAUCUGUCUUCAAGGACACCCUGACUUUUCAUUUCCUACAAAUUCAAUUCAAACAACUUAGUUCUCAUUUUUGGUUUAUUAGUGCUGCUAAAGCAUGUACAUUAUUUGCAUUAACAUGGAGUUACCUCUGGCAUGUCAACUGAGUAUCUAAUAUCAUCAAAGGUGAUAGAAAGUGGUUGGAAUGGAAGAACCAUUCCUUUUUUGUUGUUACGUCUAGCCUCAGCAAUGGCUUCUGCCCUCACAGAUGAGGAUGUGGAUGAGAUGCUUCUCCCAAUUUCGUCUCUCCUCUCUGCAUGUUAAGUUUAAAAUUAGUGAGCCAUGUAAAACAUGUGGUUAAAUGACAAGAACAAAGGCACACAUGCACCAUGAAUGAGUUUCAUCACCUGUGGAUGCAGUUUGGUCAAUCGAGCCUCGUCUAUGGGAUGAUAACUCGAUCUUCCCUCCAGUUUUGGAAUUCUCAGACUCUUCUGUUAUAACAGCUUGAGGCUUCUCAAAUGCUGCACAAUUUGCACAAAUCUUAGUACACUAAUCUCCAAUAUUUUAGGAUUUUCAACACAGAGAAUGUAAGGAUACCCACCAUUUAGGUAAGUGAGAGCCACAGUGUAACAGAAGUUGAAGACUAAAAUGAAUCCAAGCAGUGCCCCAGCUCCUAUCCAGUACCAGUAUGCCUCUGUGAAGAACCCGCGAGACUUCAAUACUGCUACUCCAAGGGAUUCUGUUGAAUCGGUUGAAGAAUUCUGAAAAAUGGAAAUACAUUCAAUCAUCAGUUACUGACACAAAUAAACACAAAUAUUCACAUGAAACAUUCAUAAACUUACUUUGCUCCAACUCUUCCCAAGGAAUUCAUUUACCACUAUUGCGUUCUGUGCAUACAUCAGAGGGGAAGACCAGUAACCCCAAAUCCACCAUUUCUUGACAUUUUCUACAGCAAUGACCAAAUACAAGAAGGAAACAAAAAUUCAUUAUUAGGGUUUAUGAACAAGAAGGUCCUAGUUUCCUAAAAAAAAUCUUUCCUCCUUAUACCUCGUGACAGGACAAAACCACCCAAUGCAAAGAGCAAAAGUAAUGAAAAUGACCCAAAUGUGUUUGCAACAAUCAUGUUUCUACCAGCUGCUGCAAUAAAUCGAAACAAUGCAGAUGCCAUCUGAUUAACAAGCACGAGGAGAAGAUAUUGUUUAAACAACCUGCAAUAAGAAGAUUUGUUUAUUAGCAUUGAUCAUUUUGGAACAAAGAAAACAUUUGAAACAAAUCUGGACAUGUUUCUUUUACCUUCCCACAUUUGGAUCAAAUCCAAUGACAUAAUAAGACAUGAACACCCAAACAGCAACUUCAACAAAUGUGAUGGGGAUCUUGAGGAUCCAUGAGGGGAGUGCAUACGCCCAUGCAGGGUAGAAUAGUAGGCCUCUUUGCUUGUAAAAGACAGGAAGUUUUGCAAUGGUCAUGGCAAGUUCUGACAUUCCAUUAAACAUGAUCAUGACAACAGUGAAGAACAAAGCACCCGUGUAAAUGCUUCCAUCAUCUGUUGAAUUUUUGUGCAUCUCAGUUCUUAGGAAGAUUGUCAUGGAAAUUGCUGCCAUUAUUAUGAGCUAAAAGAAGAAACAAAAAUAAUAAAUUACGAUCAAAUGUACAAAAUUGAAAGCCAUUGUUAUAAGUAACAACAAUAAUAAUACUCACUUGGGUGAGCUUGAAAAUAUAGACAAAUGAAUUCCUCUUCAUCAGCAAGUACUCUCUUGAGAUGCAAGCAUCCAACAGUUCCUUCUUUCUAACACCAUAUUUUUCAGUUUUCAAAGCAGCUGGGUGGCUUUUGGUCUUGUCGAAUGGAGUUGCAAGCUCAUGUCCUAGUUUCCGUCCAAUGUGAAAUGACUGGAAUGCCUCGGCAAAUUCCUUGACUGUGACAAAACUGUAAGGCUCAUCUUUACGUGCCCAAUACUGCUGCUGAUCUUUCCUAGAUGUUACCUGUAAUGAAUUUUAAAAUUCAUGUUCUAGCUUGAUUUUUUCUAAAGAAGGAAAAAAAAAUUGAGAAGAUGCCUAAAGGUACAAAACUAUUAGCACUCACUUCUUGUAGGAAGUCUGCCACACCCUUCCUUUCAGGACAUCUGAAGCCCAUGGAUUCAAAAAAGUCAAGAACGUCUUCACGAGGACCCUGAUAAACAAUCUGGCUAUCAGAGAGGAGAAUGAUGUCAUCAAAAAGAUCGUAAGUCUCAGGUGCUGGCUGGAGGAGAGAGAUGAGAGCAGUCCCAUUGAGAAUGUGGAUGGUUUGCCUGAGAGAAUUCACGAUUUGAUAAGUUGUCGAGCUAUCCAACCCAGUAGAGAUCUCAUCCAUGAACAGUGCCUUCGAUGGUCCAACCAGCAUCUCCCCUGUCAUUCAUAUAUUUCACAGUUGAAUUAACUUAAAUUAAUGAACGAAAAAAUCUAAUUUAUUUUAUUUGGUUGGAAACCAAAUUAUCCUACCAGUUGUGACACGCUUCCGUUGUCCUCCAGAGAUACCCCUUAUCAUUUGAUCUCCUACCAAGGUGUCUGCACAGACUUCUAGUCCCAGAAUCUGUAAAUUUAAGUGUAAAUGAAAAUAAACAAAUUAUGACUUAGAAUUGGGUUUUCUCAGAAAUCUGCAUUCCAUCAUUGAAAGUUCUAUGGUUAUGAUACCUUCAGUGUAUAGUCAGUGAUUACAUUCUCCUUCUGGCCUUCCGUUGCCACUGCCUGAAAUAUUAAAAACCAAUAAUGUAAAUCUCACUCACCAUCAAACCAAUAAGUACCUUAAGAAAUUCCAAGGAUAAGAGAUUUUGCUCUGCAGAACUGGUUAAAAUUUCACUCAAAGUAGCUUCUGUCUCACCUUCAUGAAGACAUCGAUAUCAGGAUCAGGCUUAAUAUUUGCUGCCUUCUCUCUUCUUGAGAGCUCUGCUAACAUGUCUGCGAAUAGCCAAAUAAAAGUCAACCUCCUGGCUUAUGCAAAUUUCAUAUAACUAAAUUCACAAGCUUCAAAAACAAAGAAAAUAAAAGUAAAAGGCAAUGAAUGGUUUAGACCAACCAUAUCGAUCUCCAACACCCUGGCAUCUUGCAGAGAAGGCCAAGGUUUCCCGUACAGUCAUUUCUCCUAUAUGGGUAUCAUGUUGGCUGAUGUAGGUUGCAGUUCUCUGGGGUACAAAUUCAUUCAUGCCAUGACCAUUGUAUGUCACCUUUCCCGUAACCUAAAAGCAGGAAUUUCAGUUUCCAAAUUGGAUAUGAGAUUAAACAGCUAAAAAUUGAAUAUUCAUUAAAGAACAAAAGCAAUAAUUUUUUUUUCAUUCAACCUUUAGACUGGAAUCAAGCUUUCCGGACAAAGCCAAUAAGAGAGUGGUCUUUCCAGAACUUGGAGGACCCAAAAGCAAUGUCAUUCUGCAGAAAAAAAAUAUGCACAAAAGAUUGAGUAUGGAUCUUCAGGAUAUUCUAAAUUGGAGAAAGUAAAAAAAUCCAUUUGAUAGAUAUAUAUAUAUAUAUAUAUAUAUAUAUAUAUAUCUCAAUUAAUUUUUUUACAGAAAAAAAAAGAAAAAAAAUCAUAUUCUCACCUUCGAGGUUUGAUGAUUCCACUAACAUCGUGAAGAAUAGUGAGUUUCUUCUUUCUACUCGGAAGAAUCCGAAGAGUGUUCAAGAUAUCCUUUAAAACAGAAAGAAAAAUUAUAAUCUAAAAACAAACUUUCCCAAGAGAGUAUUUAUUGCUUAGCUAGUGAUCUGUAUUUGCAUUUUAGUUACCUCAAUUUGAUUAAAAGCAGAAUAAAUGAAUGAAGGCAAAGCUCUGCUUCCUACAUGAGCUUCUGCAUCAAUGGUAAGAUGCUCAAAUCUAACUUCAAUUUCGGGAAGAUCAAUCCCAACUCUGAAAAAUGAAAUAGACAUGCAAACCCAUUACUAAAAAGUCAAAGGAAGAUGUUUGGUUGUGAAGAAAAUGCAGGACUAUCAGUCACAUUUAAGGUGGAUUCUUUCUUUUCCACUGUUUUCAAUGUUAAAAAAGAAAAAGAAAAACGGCAAGAAAGGCAAGAGAAGAGGAGAAAUCGCACCUAUCUAUGCGAUUCCUGAGCUUCAACAAGAACUUCUCAUUGUCCUCUUCGGCAAUUUUCACCAACCGCUCCACUAAAUUCUUCUUUUCCUGAAACCCAAGGUUGUGUAUAUCAACUUCACUGGCCUCACCCGCCGAACCCAUCAGCAAGCCUUUCCUCAUCCGAUUGUAGGUGGGAAGUUUCUCGAGGGCGGCCCAUUUCAAAGCUUCCUCAUCAUCUUCAUCCCUCGAAGAACGGGAGAAAACCUCCUCACCAGAGUUCCUCCAUAUGGAAGAACUGUCCUUCCUUAAACUACCACCGGCUCUAUAAAUUUCACCUGUUGCCAUUGCAACACGAAACGAGGAACCCUCCUGCAAAACCCACCAAAACCCAGAAACCUUUCCUACAAAUUAGGGAGAACAAACCCAAAUUUUGAACUCUAGAGCUGAAAAGCUCAAAAUAAGAGAUGGUUCCCCUCCCGCUUUUCCCUGUGCAUGCAAUUGAUUCCGUCUCUUUGUAUUGCUAAAACUUUGUUGUAUGUUGGAAAAACACGAAGAAUGGAAGGUUUAUAUACUGAUUGGAAGAACAGAAAAAUGAGGCCACCCAUAAUUUUCAAGACUACUAAACGUCUUCGUAAUCGCAAUCGUAACUGCUGUUGUAUGCAAAUGCCACGAUGUUUGACCCUUCAAAGUCUUAUUUCACAAUUCGUAAUUUUCAGAUUUCCAGUACCUUGUUUGUCAAGGAACUCAAUAAUCAUUAAAUGUUUCCCAACUGCCAAACCAACUAACUUUCCCGCCCGCCGAAAUUGCACUGUGAAAGAUUUAUAGCAUUUUAUUUAUACUCUAGUUUAAUGACAUGAGACUUUCGGUUUGGAUUGCCUAUAUUAUUUUUAGUAAUUUACCUUAUAUCUUUAAAAUUAUUUCAAAAAAAAAACCCAUAAUAUUAAUUAUUAUAUAAGUUGGAUUUAUUAAAUAUUAAAUAACAUAUAAAUUAAUAUUAAUCAUAAAUUCCCAUAAUAUUAAUAAUUACAAAAGAGUACAUUUAUCAAAAAUUAAAUAAUAUAUAAAUUAAUAUAAUUGUAUAAUCAAUUCUAAAUUACACAUUAUUUAAUUAAAUCUAAAAAUAUUUUUAAAAUAUCAAAAUCAAGCCCUAAAUAACUCACCACUUUUUAAAAAAUAUUUAAUAAAAUAUCAAUUAUUUAUCUUCUUAUUAUUUUUUUAUGAUAUAUAGUAGAAUUUAAAGUGAAAUUUUAAAUUAACACACCAAAAAUUGUUUUAGAAGGAAAAAAAAUAUUUUUUUCUGAUAAUAUUUUUUAAAAUAUAUAUAUUUUUAGUCUAAAAUAUUUUUAAAGAAAAAAUCAACCUUUUGAUCAAAUUUUAAAAUAUUAUUAAAAAAUAAAAAUUAUUUAUAAUAUUAAAAAAAUUCAAAAAAAAUAUUUUAAUAAAAACAUUUUAAGUAGAAAUACUAUUUCGUAAGAUACAAGAUAAGAAUCGCACAUAAAAGCAUUAUAAAUUAUUAGAAUCGCAUCGCAUAAAUCAUACUAAAUCUAACAACUAACCAAACUCAUCCUCUCUAAAUUUCAAUUUGGUCUCUUCUCAAUUUAUUUUUGGAUUGCUUUUCAUCUAGAAAUAGCAACCACAUAAAGCAUAGGCCAAAUACUCUAAAAAUAGGUAGAUUUCUCAUUUCUCACAUGUAGCAUCUAGAAAAAAAAACCGGUAGGGUUGGCAGAAAUAUAGGAACCACAUAAAGCAUAGGACAGAUGUUAUAAAGAUAGGCAGAUUUCUCACAUGUUAGCAUCUAGAAAAAAAAACGGGUAUGGGCUGGCAGAAAUAUAGGAAGGUGGUGGUGUGUAACCAAGACUUUCAUUAUCCAAAUUCACAUUCUUAUGGGAAAAACGUGAUUGACUUCGACACUUGAAAAAAAAAAAACAAUGGAAAGAAAAAGGGAAAUCAUCUACCCAAAUACUUGAAUGAUGAAAUCAAAUCUUUGAUCAUAUCUGCUAGUUUGGAAAGUUCAGUUUGACAACUACAUUGAAGAAGAAAAAAAAAAUUAAAACAUUACAGGUUGUUUGUGAUUUAAAAAUAAUUUUUAAUUUUUUAAGAUUUUUAAUAUUAUUUUUGUCAUUAUUUUUCGAAAAUAAUAAUAAUUUUUAAAAAAUAAGAGUUAUUUUUAUCGAUUUUUAAAAAUAAAAAAAAAAUAUAGAUCUGUUUGAUCAUAUUUUCUUAAACUUAUUUUUAAAUUGAUUAAAAUAAAAAAAUAAAAAAAAUAUUAAAAAUACAUAUAAAAAUGGUUUAUUAAUUUAAAAUAUUUUUUAUUUUUUAUCUUCUAUUUUUUCUCAUUAUUUCAUUUUCAUUUUCCACUUCAAAAUUUUCAAUAUUCAACUAUUGAAUUCCGUACACUUUUUUUUUUAAUGAAAAAGAUGAGUUUUGACUUUUGACACUUUUUCAAAAAAGAUGCGUUUUGAUCCCUUCCCUAUAAUAAUAAAAAAAGAAAUAGUAAAUUUAUUGACGUCACUCCAUGCAUCAUCUUCCUUAAAAGUACAAAUCGUCCUCCUCUUCUUCUCUUACUAUGUUUUUUUUUUGUUUUCAAUUUAUUUAAAGAAAAAAAAAAAUCUUUGGUGUCCGGUGGAAUCAAUCGAAUGAACGAGUGGCUUCUAUUAUUACAAAUUUGAAAAUUUGGCUUAUUUUAUUUUUAAAUAUAGAAAAAAGGCUACAUGAUAACUCCAUAAUAUAUGGAACAUGCAUAUGCCACCCUUUUUGACCCUUCAAAUUCUUAUGUUCUCCGUUCAUAAUUUUCACGUGUGUUCAAGGAAGUAGGCAAGCCUACGUUAAACAAUAAAAAAGAUGUUUUAAAUUUUACCAAAAAAAAAAAAAGUCAAAGGAUUUUUUCAAAAGAAUCUUAAGAAGUAAUUGGACAUCUCAAUAAGAAAUUUUUAAAACUAUAAAUGUAAAAUAUUUUGUUGGCAUUUUAUUUAUAAUUUAAUAAACGUUUUCAAACUUUGGGUUUUUGGAUUACAUGUUUGGAUUAGUAAUUGAAAUGUUGGGAAAUAUCAACGAGGUUCGCCAUGAAUAUGGGAUCAAAAGUCAAUAAACGAUGUUUCAUUAGUUAAGGUUGCUGGCUCUCUUGGUCAAACUCCCUAAAAAAAGUUUAAGUUCCAAAAGGUUUGGGUUGAAGCUUGGCUACCACUAGGGUGAAUUCAAUUAAUAUAUGUGCACAAGUAUAUAUUAAAAUCCAUUAUUAAAAAAAUAUUUUAAUAAAUAAAUUAAUUCUACUUAUUUUAUUUAAUUGAUUACUAAAAUAUAAAAACCAUCAUUAUAAUUUUUUAACAAGACUUUUUUUUAUAUCAUUUAUGUGAUAAUUAAAUAUUAAAAAUAUAAAUAGGAUAAAAAAAUGCAUAUAAUUUUGAAUGUUUUUAUUUUAAAAUAUUGAAAAUAUAAAUUUAUUUGAAAAUUGUUAAAAUAUAAUAAUAAUAAUAAUAAUAAUAAUGAAGUUCUAAUAUUUUAUAAAUUAAAAUUAAUUUAAUAAGAUAAAUUAUUAAUAUAAUUUUAAUUAUUUAAAUAAAUCAAUGUCAAUAGCAAAAAGUUGUCACCAUAAGUAAUAAAAUUUUAAAAAUUAAAACUCAAAUAAAAUAUUUUAUAUAAGUCUUAAAAUGUAGUUAAUUUUUUUUAUUUGAAAUGUAAUAAAAUUUUUAAUUUUUAAAAUAAAUGAAUAUAAAUAUAUUAAAGGAAUUUGAGAUCAUUUUUUCUAUAAAAAAAUUUGAUAAAUAUUGUCCUUGACCAUACCUAUGUUAGUUACACCUACAAAAUAACUUUAACAUAUGUUUUUUUACUUAUUUUAUCAUUUAAAACUUUUUUAAAUAUUUUCAUGAAUUUUGAACAAUUUUCGUCUUAUCGAUAUUUCUGAUAUAUCCAUAAAAUUCAAAUACUGAUAUAUUCGUAAAAUCCAAUUAUUGAUAUAUAUAUACAUGUUUAUAGAUAUUUUCAUCUUUGCUUUGGAUGCAUUUUUCUAUUUUUUGUUUUUAAAUAGAAUACUUUAAAUGUAGAGAAAAAUAUAGGAAUUCUUAUAUAAAAAGUAGGUACAUAUCUUGUAUACAUAAAAACACUUUUUAAAUUUUAAAUAAGUAAACAUUUUCACUUCCAAAAAAUUUUAAAGUUUUGAAAAAAAAAUUAAAAUAUAAAGUAAAUUUGGACUUUUUGUAUAAGAGUUGUUAUAUUUUAUAUAGAAAUUUUUAUUUUUAAAAAUAAAAAAUAAGAAGUGUAUCUAAUAGCUAGACACCUAAAGUAUUUUUUUUACAAUUUUAUUUAUACUCUAAUCUAAUGUUUAUAGAUUGAGUUUGUAUUCAAGUUUAUAUUAUGAUCGAUAUAUUAAGGGAUGAAGCUAAAGUAACUACCGAAAUGUUAUUUAGGUGAGAAAUUAUAAAAAUUAUGAUUGUAAUAAAUAUUUGAUAAAUUUUCAUAAUUUAAAAAGUAGUUAACAAUACCCCUCAUUAUUAUUAAACAAAAUAAAAAACAAUGGACAUUAAUUAUAAAAAGAAAAAGAAAAUAUAUCUUAUAUCAAAUUGAAUAAGAAAAAUAUUAAAUACAUUGGUCAAGAAUAUUUUAGAUUUUAUAAAUAAAAAAAAUCAAAAAAUUAAAAGAUUUUUUCUUCAAAAGAAAUUUAAAAAAAAAAAAGUUAAACAUUUCAAUAAGAAACUUCUAAUAAUUUUGUUUUAUUAAAAAAAUCCUAAAAAUAAAUUUUUAAAAAAAUCAAUAAUUCCACUUAUAAAUUUCUUCUCUUUUUCAAAUAGCUAAAGAUAAUUGACUGAGGAAACCUUUCUAAAAAUAUAGUUUGGUGAACUCCACAAGUAAACUAUGAAUAACUAAGAAGAGUUUCGGAGUUAUUGUUUGUAAUUUAUAAAUAUCAUAUUAAGUUAUACAAUUUUUAUAAUUAAAGUUAAAUUCAAUAUCUCGUAAUUUGAGUCAUUACAUAAGAUUGAAUUUAUCAAAUAUUAGAUAACAUAUAAAUUAAUAUUAAUCAUAAAUUCCCAUAAUAUGAAUCAUUACAUAAGAUUACAUCUAUCAAAAAUUAAAUAACAUAUAAAUUCAUACAAUUUUGUUGGCAAUUCUAAAUUAGUGAUUAUUUGAUUAAAUCUCAAAAAAAAAAAUUAAAAAGUCAAAAUCUAGCUAUAAAAAAUUCGCCACUGAAAAAAUUUAAUAAAAUAUUGUUAAAAUAACGAGAAUAGGUAAUUUAAAAAAAACACUAACAGACAAAAAACACAUAAAUUUACGUGAAAAACUCUAAAUGAGAAAAAACACAAGUAGAAAAGACAGAAAUCCAUUAUAUCAAAAUAUUGGUAUAAGAGGGAAAAGUUGCCAGCAAUUACAGAAGAAACAUAAUUAUCCUAAUCCUAAAACUAUACAUCAUCAUAAUCCUCCCAAAAAUCUCAUAAUUAUAGUUUCACUACAUAUGUUGUACCACAAGGUUUUUGAAUCGGAUUAAAUAGAAUUCGGAUUACCAAAUUCUAAUAAAUGUCAACGAUAAAGUUACAAAAAAUUUAUUUAUUAUAAAUUUUAUGGUAUAUAGUGGGAUUUAAAUAAAAUUAAUUAUAUAAAUUUUCAAUAAAAUUAAAUAAAAACAAAUAAAUCAUCGAUAAAACCUAUAUACAUUCAUAUUUAUUUACUUAUUUUUUUUAUUUUGAUCUUCAACAAGUUUUCAAAAAUAAAACAUUCAUUUUUUCAAAUAGAGUUCAAGUGUGACCAUGAUGCAUAUCACCUUUAUGAGAAUUGCAGGCCCACACUCAAAAUUUUAAAUAAAUAUUUUUAAAUAAUAAUAAUAAUAAUAACAACAAAAAGAAUAAUAAUUAAAUAAAUAAAUAUGAAAUGGGAAUUUCGGAAAAUUAUUCUAAAAUGAAAGUUUUAAAAUUAUUUGAGAAAUGGAAUUAUGAAAGGAGUUUUGGAAAAUUGGAGUUAGGAAAAUUGUUAAAAUAAUAAGAAAAUAAAUAAAAAGUCAAAAUCUUAAUGGGGCCAUGUGCCAAAGUGACCACACUUAGAGGUGGGCCAAGGUCGAAAAAGGUUUUCAAAUGAUGUUUGAACAUCCUGGCAGCCCAAAGAAAAAUAAAACAAAAUCUUGCAACGUGCACAUCCAUGAAUUUACAUCUGUGGCCCCACCAUUCAAUAUCACCGCCAAACCAGAAGAAAACCCACAAGUCCGCAGGCCGUCCUAUGCCAUCAGCAAUAAGCACAAGCUCUGAUUUCUCAAAUUACAAAAUAGCCCCACGGAAAGAAAUUCAAUUUCGAAUCUCCACCAAAAACUCCAAUAAUUGCCUAUCGACUUCACCCAAACUGCAAAACACUAAGGCUAUGUUUGAUUUCCGGAAAGUACGAAGGAAAGAAAAAAAAUGCUAAAGAAAAUGAUUUUCUCAUAUUUGAUUAUCCUAUGAAAAAUAUCAAAGAAAAUAAAAUAUAAUUAAAAUUAAUUAAAAAUUUAUAUAUUUUUAAAUUAUUUAAUCUUUAUAUUGAUGAGUUAAAAUAAAUAAAAUGAGUUUGAAGUAACAAAAAAAUAAUUUAUCAACUUUUAAUCUAUUUUUUUAUUUUUCUUCACUUUUUCUUUCCUUCUAGUUUUCCUUUGUAUUUUCUUUCCCUCGUAUUUUCCCUCAAAUUUUCCGGGAACCAAACAUAGCCUAAUAAUUCAACCACCCUCCAGACCACGCGUAGACGCUCCACUUCCACAUAUUUUGGCACGUAUUCUGUCAAGAUUAUUGGAUGCUGCCCAUGAGGCCUGUUAAUUAGUCGAAUGGUUCUCAACCGAGCCUAAAGCUUUGUCGAGUCAUAACCAGCUUCCCCGUGUUGUUGGCUCUCAGUGAGGGAUACUUCGGACUGAAGACCUCUCUACCAUAUCUCUCAUAAUGUAUCAUGGGCAGAGAAGCAAUGGAGAUUGGAUUGAUUCUUCUUGCUUUCAGGAGCUCUAUUAACUCCAAUUCCAACUUAACUGGAAAUUCCGAACCAAUAAGAGUUAUGGGACCCGUACCCACACCGGAAUUUUCUACUAUCGUCUCCGGAUAACACGCCACCGCAUGGGUCAAUCAGGUUCGUUUUGUAUGCUGUCACUGUAAAUACUCUGAAUAAUCCCCCAAAAAUCUCAUAAUUAUAGUUUCACUACAUAUGUCAUACCGCAAACUUUUUGAAUCGUACUAAAUAAAAUUCGGAUCACUAAAUUCUAAUAAAUGUGACAAAGUUACAAAAAGUUUAUUUAUUAUAAUUUUUAUGGUUUAAGUGGGAUUUAAAUAAAAUUAAUUUAAAAUUUUUCAAUAAAAUUAAAUAAAAACAAAAUAAAUCAUCGAUAAAAACUAUAUACAUUCAUAUUUAUUUACUUUUUUUUUUAUUUUGAUCUUCAACAAGUUUUCAAAAAUAAAACAUUCAUUUUUUCAAGGGAGAAUUAUCUUUUGGGGGUAGAUGGGCCCUCAAAUUAACAAAAGGUUCAUAUAACUCUUGAAAUUGAGUUGAAGGAUAUGAAAUAAUAACGGACAAAUAUACCCUUUAGGAACACAUAUAAAAUAUUUUAUAAAAUUAAGUUAAAUAAUUUUUUUUCAAUAACUUUUUUUUUUUCAAAAAUACUAAAUUAAAUAAAAGUAGUUUUCAAAAAUAUUAAAUUAAAUAAUUUUUUUUUUCAAAAAUAUUAAAUUAUUUUUUUUUCAAAAAUAUUAAAUUAAAUUAAAGUAUUUAAAAAAAUAUUAAAUUAAAUAUUUUUUUAAAUAUUAAAUUAAAUAAAUUUAUUUUUAAAAAAUAUUAAAUUAAAUAAAAGUAUUUUAAAAAAUAUUAAAUUAAAUCAAAAAUAUUAAAUUAAAUAAAAGUAUUUUUCAAAAAUAUUAAUUUUUUUCUCAAAAUCAACAAAGGGUAUUUUUGGAAAUAUUGAAAGAUGAUAUCCUUCAACUCAAUUUCUAUACUUUCAUUGGGUCUUGGGCUCAAUUUGAAGAGUUACAUGGACCUUUUGUUAAUUUGGGGGUCCAUCUACCCCCAAAACAUAAUUCUCCUUUUUUUCAAAUAGAGUUUCAAGUGUGACCUUGAUGCAUAUCAUCUCUAUGCGAAAUGCAGGCCCACCCUCAUGGUGUUCUCUAUUCCCUACUAAAAUAAUUAUUCCUUAGUGGAGCUAAAUAUCCCCAACUCAUUGAGGCAUCCCCAACAAUUGUCAUUAUUACAUCCUUUAUUUCCCAACAACUUUCAUGAAGAGGUAAAGGUACUUUGACAUUCUGCCUAAUAUAGCCAUGGUAAGGCUUCUUAUGAGCAUUUUGCAGUUUGGUUUGUGUAUGGGGAUCAAGCAACUUUUUAAUGUAGAGAAGACUAUACAUUGUGCUAGCAGAUUCUUCAAUGCAAACAUGUUAAUAUAAGAAUACAAACCUUAUAUUUUUAUCUACCAUAUAUUGAUAGGGAUAUUCCAAAUAGUUUCCAAUAUUCUAUAAGAUAUUUAAUUGUAAUGACAUAUACUUAGGAAUUUGAGAUACUUUCUAAUAAUUUUAGUCUCGUAUCAAAUUCAAUUAAGUUAAUCUUUCAUCUUUUCAUGAUACACGCUUUCAAAAGACUUGUUUUAACCAAAUUCUAACUCCACAUCAUGACCAAAUCUUUACUUCACAUCAUAACUUCUUUAUACGCCACACUCUCCUCAUGUGUCACAUGGUUCCUUUUGUGCACCUCAUGUGUCACAUGGUUCCUUUUGUGCACUAUAGUCUUAUCAUGUGUCACGAUUCCCUCGUGUGCUAUGGAUUUAAAAUCAUUUUUUUCCAUUUUAAACAUGUUAUUUCUUUAUAGCAUUUACUGUCUUUUUCAUUCAAGUUUCCUUUUCCUUUACUUUUAGUAGGACAUUGUUAUAAAACUCUACCUCUCACUUGGUCCGUAGGUUCCUUAUUACACUACCAACACACGCUCUAUUCAAAUUAUAGUCUAGUCUCAAUGUUAAUUUUGCAGAGUUAGACGAUACCCUUACGUGUAUUUCACCCUUGUUUGGAUGGCAAAAAAAAGUUUAGGAACUCACAACGAAGUAGGGAUUGAUGUUGAAUUUGUUAUGGGAUGAUGAAUAGAAUACUUUCCUUCUUACUCCUCUAUUCUACAUAAAUGCACAUACGGACAAGUUCGGUAUAAGUUUGUACUAACUCAAUUGGUAAGUGUCACUUUUUUAAUUAAUAGAUGUUGACAAUUUUGUCUUAAAUUAUAUAUUUUAGUUUUAGGAAAAUCGGUAUAUGUAGAGUUUAGCUUUUAGAAAACUCCCUUUUUAGGUUGACUAAGACUAGGAACUUAUUGUUUAGGAUUAGGUCUAUAAAUAUGUGGCCUACAUAGGAUUUUUUUAAGAGAGUGAAAAGAAAGUAAGUGCAUCCAAUUAAGUGAAAUUGUGUCCUUUUUCAUAUUUAGUAGAUUAUUUAACGUUUGAGAGACCACAUUUGUGUGACUGAUUUAUUUAUAUUUGCAUAAGAAUUUUACUCUCUUUAAAGAAUAAGUAUAAAGAGACAAACUUAAAAUAGGUAAUAAAAUAUUAAUUUGGGGAUUAAUUCAAAGACCACACCUUCUCUAUUUCACUUUAUUUUUUUACUGCAUUUGGAUGUUGUGAUUUUCCUAAAAAGUGGUAUCAGAGCCGUGCAGAGAUAAUGGAAAAAUUAUUUUGAUGAAAAUGUCUAACAUAAAAUAUAAUAUUGAGUUCUUUGAUGGAAAUAAUAAUUUUAGUAUUUGGCAAAGUAUUAUUAAAGAUAUUUGGGUACAACAAGAACUUCUCAAAGUGUCACAAUAAAAAAAAAAAAAAAAAAAUCAGAGAACAUGAAGAUUAAUUAGAAGCAAGAAUGGUAAGUGCUAUUUAUCUAAUUUUGAUUCCUAAAAUAAAAUACAUUUUUUAAAAAUGAGAGAUCUCUUUUUUAUUUAUGAGAAAAUUUAGAGAAAAUUUAUAAGCCAAAAUUCUUAACACAUAAAUUAUAUUUGAAGAAACAAUUAUAUGAGUUGAAGAUAGAUGAAGGAACAAAUGUUAGGAAUCAUACAAAUAAAUUCAAUAAAUGCAUGACUUAGUUAUUAAGGGUAGUGGUCAAGAUUGAUAAGAAUGAUCAAGCUAUUAUUUUCUUAGUGUCUUUACGAAAUUAUAUGAGACAUUGGUGAGUACACAAUUAGUUAGAAAGAUGAUAUUAACCAUUAAUGAUCUAUCAACUACCCUUUAAAUAUUGACCAACCAAGUAAUUCGUCUUGUACCGCACAAGCUUUUGUGGUGAAGUUUGAAUCAAAUCGUGAUAAGAGUAAAUCACAAGGAAGAUAUUAUGAUAUGAGGGAUGAUUGUUCUCAACCACACUUCUAGAGGGAUGUGGAGUUUUACUAUUGCCUCAAAAAAUGACAUAUCAAAAAGUACUAUAAAGAAUUGACAAAACACUUAGAAUCAAAGAGGUAAGCUAAAUUCUAGGAGACUUCAAAUUUUACUAAUAUUGUUGAUAAAAAGUUUGAUACAGAUAAUGUUGUUCUUUUUAUUAUAAUUGAUGAUUUUUUUUUUUUUUUUUUUUACUUUUAGAUUUUGGAUUUUGAAUGUUCUUUUCAUAUGUACCCAUAUUAUAAGUGGUUUGAUACCUAUAAGACUUGCGAUGCUAUUACUAUUAUAAUGGGCAAUGAUUCAAACUAUAAAGCUAUUGGGAUUAGUAUUGGGAAGGUGAAGAUAUUGGAUGGUGUUGUGAGGAUAUUGAGUAAUGUUAAGUAUGCUCCUAAGUCGAGGGGGAGUUCAAUUUCUUUGAAGACUUUGGACAAUUUCAACCAUGACUUUUUUGCUAAAGAAGACAUUAUGAAUAUUAGUAAAGGUGCUUUGAUAAUUAUGAAGGAAGAAAGGUGAAAAUUUCAUACACUUUGAUUGAGAAUACAAUUUUAGAUGCAAUUAUGAUGGUGAAGUCAUGCCAUGAAGUGUCUUAUGCUAGUGUUAAAGAAAUUGUCAUAGCAGAAGAGCACAAAAAAAUACUGGUAGUAGAUGAAAAACACAGAAGUGAGAUGAUCAAGGCUUUGUUUUUGGUUAAAAAUACUUAGUGGCACAAAGAUAAAGACUAAUUGAAAAAGAAAAGUUAUGAAAAAAAGAAUGUUCAUCGAGUCAAAGCUAAUGAGAGACUGAACUUGACAUAUACUUAUUCUCAUUGAUUAUGUGGUGGUGGCAAGGGGUGCAAAGAUGGGUAUCAAGGAAAAAUAACCCUACAUAUAGAUUGAGAAUUUGAAUCAAGAUGGAGAUUAUUAGUAAUUUUGACUUAAAUUAUUUAUUUUUUAUUUUUAGGAAAGCCAAUAUUUGUUGAGUUUAGGUUUUAGUAAAUUACUUUUUUAAAUUUGACUAGGAUUAGGAAACUUAUUUUUAAGGUUAGGUAUAUAAAUAUAUGGUUUUACAUUAGAUUUUAGGAGAAAGUGAAAAAAUGAGCGAAAAAUAUAGAAAGAUAGACAAAUUAUGUAUUGGGUUUUGGUAGAGUGACGUUGAGAAGGUUUGAGUAUAUAUUUUUUAAGUUACUAAUAAAUUUGAUCUCUCUCUCCCAUGAAAUCAUGUAAAUCUUUUAUCUUCUCUAUUUUACUUUAUUCUUUAUAUUGUCUUUGGGUGUUGCAAUUUCCCAAUAAUAGAAUGGUUUGAUCUUAUUUUGUUUCUAAGUAAAAUGUAAAUAAGUUAUCAGGUUAGCAAAUUAUUCAUAUACAUUAUUUUUUUUAGUCAUAUCAUCCAUGAACUUUUUCAAGGUGGCAACCUAUUUGGAAAAACCACAUUUGAUUUAAAAAAAGGAGAAUUGUGUUUUGGGCCAAUUGGGCUCAAAAAUUAAUCAAAGAUCCAUAUAUCAUGCACAUUUAAGCCCAAGACUCAAAUAAAGUGUAAAAAAUUAAGUUGAAUGAUAUUAUCCUUCGUUAAUCCCUCAAAUACCCUUAACACCUACAUAGAUAUAUAGUAAGUGUAAAUUUCAAUUUUUUUUUAAGUGUUUUUUUCUCUUUUCUAUUCCCAAUUAAGUAUUACUCAUUUCUAACUUUUUGUUUUUUCUUUUCUUUUUUAAAGAUAUUGAAUCUUUUUACUCUUAUUAUAAGUAAGGAUAAAAAAUCUUCAUAUAAAAUUUAAUGGAUAAUCAAUGAAUAAAAUUUAAUUCUUUUUAUUAUUUUCAUAUAAAAAAUAGUACUAAACAAGGGUUUCAAUUUUUAUUUUUAAAAAUAGUUUUCAUUUUUUAAUUAAAUGUUUUUUCAAAAAGAAAUAUAAAAAUAUAAAUCAUAUUACCAUUUUUUAGAAAGUAUUUUUUUUAAAUAGUUUUUGAACGUAAUUUUUCUUUAUUUAUAAUUUAAAAUAGAAAAUAAUGUUGAUUUCAAUUAUUUAAAAAAAAUUAAAAAAAAACAAUGAAAAAUCCAAAUGGUUAAAAUAGAAUUAUUAUGAUUGCAUGAAUCGUAGUGCUAUAAAGACCAAAAAAGUUUAUAUGAAAAGUUAAUGAGUAUUUUGAUCUUUUGAUAUCUUAUAUCAUUUCCAUCAAUUAUGUAAGUUAUAUGGACGAAAUCUUAAUUUUUUUGUCUAACUCGCUCAAAAUUCCAUUAUCCCUUUAAAAAAUAAAAUAAAAAUCAAAUCCUCCUUAAACAAAGGAAAGAAAAAGAAACAACAAAUCUUGAAGUGAGGUUUCAACAGAUCUUUGUUCAAUAAAGCAGCCAAGCAUUAUGGGGCUUAGUUGAAAGUACUCAUUUUCAUGAGUCCAAACAAUGAAAGAUUUGAUAUCCAGAAGCAUUCACCUAGUCAAAAAAUUUAAUGAGUUUUUCAGCUUGGUAGAGUCAGGUCAAAUCCACAUGUAGUGAUUCUACAAUUCAGAAUAUAACUGCUUCACUUGGAAAUGAUCAUCAGGAUACCAAUGCAUGAGCACCAAAUCUUCUGAACUACUUUUCUUCAUGUGUCCAGCGUAUAAGUAGAAAAUGGAUCAGUAAGUGCAGGCAUGGAACUGUUGGCAAUAAGUCUGAUCUCUCUGAAGAAGGCCUAAGCUUCCCUUUUUGCUAGUUCAAGUCUAUAGAUGUAAUAGUUCUUGGAAAUGGUAUCUGAUUUCAGACUGGUUGGUGUUGAAACCAUACCAUUUUCUUGCUGUCAUUGUGUCUUAAUGUUUUCAGCUACUUAAAGAAGAGACUGAAAGUGGGGCACCAUAGUGGUAAGUUGGUAAUCGGGGAUGAAAGAAAUGCUCAAGGUUGUAUCAGUCUUGAAUUUCAAAUUGCAUAAAAUUGGCAGAAAAAAAAAUACAAGAAUUUAAUAAGAUAGAUGUUACCUGCUCAUUGCAGGGCUAUGAAAACUCUCUAAUAGCCUAUACAUCAAACGAAACCAGUUUUUUUCAUCUUAAAAUCAAAUGUGGAACUGAAAAGGUUACACACAUAUACAUUAACCAAGAGUCUCUGAAGAACUUUUGCUCCGUGUGACUUCUUAUCGCCUUUGGAAGUUCAAUGCCUUAAUGGCAUAGGCAAAGAUAAAUAAGAAAAGCACCACAAACCCAACGACCACAGCUGCAACCACUCCUAGGAAAUCAUGUUUGAAUCCAAAGUAGUCAUUCAAGUAGUCUUUCACUGUUACACCUGUGUUUAGUUCUUCUGUUAUAUCUCCAAACUGUGAUGUAACCAAUCCAUACAAAGUCCAUGAAACUGGGCAUAUCCAAUAGUACCAUCUCCACCACACGGGUAUUCUCUGUAUUCAUCAAGGAAGAAAUGCAUCAAAAUGAGUCAUUCCUGUAUCCAUGUGGCUAAAGAAAGUUGCAAUUUAAAGAACUAUGGGUUGAGAGCACUUACAUUUCGUGGGACUAUAAAACCUGAAAAGAGGUUCCACAAUCCAUAAAAUGCUGCGGCAACAAUGGAAGCGAUAUUUUGAUUUGGUGUGGCAGCCACAGCCAUCAUGCCAUAGAAGGUGAAGUACAUUAAGGUGAAGAACAUGAAAAACAGAUACCAGAAGAACUUAGCGGCUGUCCAUUGAAAUCCAAUCAUUGCAUAAACUAUAAGACCAUACACCACGGCUUGUGAAAAGAUAUAUGGUAUCUCAACUAAAGCCUGCAACAAGAGAUGAGAUUUGAUUAAUAAAACCUAUGAAGUAUUAGAGACAGACAAAGUCUAUAGCAUAAGAAAACUAGUUACCUGUGCAAAGGCAUAUGACAGUGGUGAAUACAUUCCUGCAGCUCUUUCUCUGUAAAAGACUGUUCGUUCAACUACCACAACUGGCUGCACUGACUGGGAAUUUUGAAUCCCAAGGAAGAGAACAGCAGCAUACAUUGAACCCAUUGCAUUAAACAGAUCUUGUUGCGUUGACCUGCAUUUUACCACGUGAAGUAUAAAUCAAUGUUGAUAAAAAAGAAACAUACAGAGUUCUCAAAUUUUUGAACUGACUUCAAAUUACCAUUUGGUGCCCAGAUCCCAGAACAUUGUCCCAAACAUCAAGGCUAUGAAAGUUGUGAAGAGAAAUCUCACUGCCGUGUAUGGUGGGUUGCGCCAGUAUGACCAACGCUGUUUCCAUAAGCAUGCCAAAAAUUGGGUGAAGAAGGGCUGGGAGAAUUGAGUACGGAAAUAGAGGUCCUUUGUACCAGGGGGAGGUUGGCUCAGUUCUUUAAUUAAAUCUUUGUUUCUCCUGAAACAUAUGCCACUUGUUAGAAAAGGUUUCAACAACAAAUUUAAGUUUUCAUGAGAAACAUUAGGAUGGCUGUAUAUUAUUUUUCAAUCUUAUAAUGCAAUUAGAUAACCUAUGGUUGAAUCACCUGUAUAGGUCCGAAUUCUUGUAUAUUUCAGUGAAAUCGACCCCCAAAGUUGCUUCUUGUGCUGCGGUGGUAGCUUCCAGCAUCCAGGUUGCAGGGUUAUAACCAUCUUUGAUUUUACUGACUCCUUCAAUUCCCUUUAUGAAAGAAAGUGAUAUGCAUUAGUGAGCGCUUAAUAUGAAUUAACUCAAACUGAAGUAUUCACUUCUUAUAGCUU